rnacentral:rRNA from 1 species
CCCUUAGAUGUUCUGGGCCGCACGCGCGCUACACUGACGAAGUCAGCGAGCAUCUCCUACGCCGAAAGGUGCGGGGAAUCUUGUGAAACUUUGUCGUGCUGGGGAUUGAUUUUUGAAAUUCUUGAUCAUAAACGAGGAAUUCCUAGUAAGCGCAAGUCAGCAGCUUGCGUUGAUUACGUCCCUGCCCUUUGUACACACCGCCCGUCGCUACUACCGAUUGAAUGGUUUAGUGAGAUGUUUGGAUCGGAACUCUCUUGCUCAGCAAUGGGCGAGAGAGAGUCUGGGAAGUCCCUCUAACUGUAUCAUUUAGAGGAAGUAAAAGUCGUAACA